UACAAGGUCAAUAUUCACCGUAACCUCCAUGUGACUGUAUGACAGCCAUCGCUCUCCUCCUCAUUCACCCUGUCAGCCUCCUGAUGCUCUGAAGGGGCAAUCUACGGUAUUCAUCGUGUAAAGCAGCUUCCAAUUUGGCCAGGUUCUGUACAGGAGGAUCCUUUUGUUGCAUACGACGACCACUCAUAUCCCAUAUAUGCUCCAAAGGGCUAUAUCGGGGCUCAUUCAAUCUUCCUGGCGGACCCUAUUUCGAACACACUCUCGAAUGGACCAACAUAUCUGAAGUCCACGAAUAUUUUCAAAUGUGCAGUGUGCACUAUGAAGACAUGAAAAAGGAUUGCGUUCCGGAAAUACGUCGAAUGGCUGAGUACUUGGGGCGUCCUUUGUCGGAGAAAACAUACCAGGACAUAUCCGAGGCAUGUUCUUUUAAGAAACUCAAGCAUGCUAACGAGAAACUCAAAGACCAGACC